GUGCCAGCAGCCGCGGUAAUACAGAGGGUGCGAGCGUUAAUCGGAGUUACUGGGCGUAAAGGGCGCGUAGGCGGUUGAAUAAGAUUGAUGUGAAAUCCCUGGGCUUAACCUAGGAACUGCAUCGAUGACUGUAUGACUUGAGUAUUGUAGAGGGUAGUGGAAUUUCCGGUGUAGCGGUGAAAUGCGUAGAGAUCGGAAGGAACACCAGUGGCGAAGGCGGCUACCUGGACAAAUACUGACGCUGAGGCGCGAGAGCGUGGGGAGCAAACAGGAUUAGAAACCCGAGUAGUCC
rnacentral:rRNA from 1 species